GACGAACGCUGGCGGCGUGCUUAACACAUGCAAGUCGAACGGAAAGGCCCUGCUUGCAGGGUACUCGAGUGGCGAACGGGUGAGUAACACGUGGGUGAUCUGCCCUUCACUUCGGGAUAAGCCUGGGAAACUGGGUCUAAUACCGGAUAGGAGCCCUUUUGAGUGUGAUGGUUGGAAAGUUGUUUCGGUGUAGGAUGAGCUCGCGUCCUAUCAGCUUGUUGGUGUGGUAAUGGCCUACCAAGGCGGCGACGGGUAGCCGGACUGAGAGGGUGGACGGCAAAAUCGGGACUGAGAUCCGGCCCAGACACCAGUGGGAGGCAGCAGUGGGGGAUAGUGAACAAUGGGCGGAAGCCUGGUGCAGCGACGCCGCGUGGGGGAUGAGGACCUUCGGGUUGUAAACGCCUCUCGCUAGGGACGAAGAUGUUUGUGACGGUAGCUAGAUAAGAAGCACCGGCUAACUACGUG
rnacentral:rRNA from 1 species